rnacentral:rRNA from 1 species
UUAACAAAAACAUGUCUUUUUGAGUUUAAAUAUAAAGUCUAAUCUGCCCACUGAUAAAUUAUUUAAUGGCCGCAGUAUUUUAACUGUGCAAAGGUAGCAUAAUAAUUAGCUUUUUAAUUGAAGGCUUGUAUGAAUGAUUGGACGAGAUAUAAACUGUCUCAUAAAAAUUUUUUUUGAAUUUAAUUUUUUAGUUAAAAAGCUAAAAUAAAUUUAAAAGACGAGAAGACCCCAUAGAUCUUUAUAUUUUUUUUAUUAUUAUUUUUUAGUUUUUUUAUAAAUUAAUAAAUAAAAGUAUUUUGUUGGGGUGACAUUGAAAUUUAAUAAACUUUCAAAAUUUAAUAACAUUAAUCUAUGAAUUUAUGAUCCUUUAUUAUUGAUUAAAAAUUUAAGUUACCUUGGGGAUAACAGCGUAAUUAUUUUGGAGAGUUCUUAUUGAUAAAAUAGAUUGCGACCUCGAUGUUGGAUUAAGAUUAAUUUUGGGUGUAGUAGUUCAAAUUAUUAAGUCUGUUCGACUUUUAAUUUCUUACGUGAUCUG